rnacentral:snRNA from 1 species
CAGGGGGGCUCUGCAUGAGUGGCACUCAGGGGAGGUCACUUGCUCUAUUUGUGGAAUCAACAUCAAGAGAUUUCAGAAGCAUAAUAUUUUGGCAGUAGGGUAGCUGGUGAUUGUUGUUCCUGGUGCCCCA